rnacentral:rRNA from 1 species
GUUAGGAAUAUUGGACAAUGGGCGCAAGCCUGAUCCAGCCAUGCCGCGUGAGUGAUGAAGGCCUUCGGGUCGUAAAGCUCUGUUGCAGGGGAAGAACACAAUGACGGUACCCUGCUAGAAAGGAUCGGCUAACUUCGUGCCAGCAGCCGCGGUAAGACGAGGGAUCCUAGCGUUGUUCGGAAUUAUUGGGCGUAAAGCGGGUGCAGGUGGCUUGGUAAGUCAGAUGUGAAAGCCUGGGGCUUAACCCCAGAAGUGCAUUUGAUACUGCUGAGCUUGAGUGCUGGAGAGGCUAUUAGAAUUCCUGGUGUAGUGGUGAAAUACGUAGAUAUCAGGAGGAAUACCGGAGGCGAAGGCGGAUAGCUGGCCAGACACUGACACUCAGACCCGAAAGCGUGGGGAUCAAACAGGAUUAGAAACCCUUGUAGUCC